AUGGGGUGUGUAAUGCAGAGUCAGGAAGCAUGUAUUUUCCUGUCUGCGACAAAUAGGAUUCGUAUGGAAGCUGAUCCAGCUAUUGCAGAGACUUUGGCAGUAAGGAACCAAAAUAUUGAUGCAACACCGGGAAAAUACCCCUUGACCAAAUCUCUAGUCUUGUAUCAGACUUCGCUUCUAUCUAAUAAAAUUAGUCUUUGA